GGUUCCAUAGUAUAGUGGUUAGCACGUCUACUUUAUAUGCAGAAGGUCCUGAGUUCGUGCCCCAGUGGAGCCA
rnacentral:tRNA from 1 species